GAUGAACGCUGGCGGCGUGCUUAACACAUGCAAGUCGAACGGGAAUUACUUUAUUGAAACUUCGGUCGAUUUAAUUUAAUUCUAGUGGCGGACGGGUGAGUAACGCGUGGGUAACCUGCCUUAUACAGGGGGAUAACAGUCAGAAAUGGCUGCUAAUACCGCAUAAGCGCACAGAGCUGCAUGGCUCAGUGUGAAAAACUCCGGUGGUAUAAGAUGGACCCGCGUUGGAUUAGCUUGUUGGUGAGGUAACGGCCCACCAAGGCGACGAUCCAUAGCCGGCCUGAGAGGGUGAACGGCCACAUUGGGACUGAGACACGGCCCAGACUCCUACGGGAGGCAGCAGUGGGGAAUAUUGCACAAUGGGGGAAACCCUGAUGCAGCGACGCCGCGUGAAGGAAGAAGUAUCUCGGUAUGUAAACUUCUAUCAGCAGGGAAGAUAGUGACGG
rnacentral:rRNA from 1 species